AGCCGCGCGUCACCUCUCCAGCCGGGAGAGCACUCGCGGGGCUAAGCAGCCCCCGCGACCCUCUCCUGGCUGGAGAGGUGACGUGCGGCU
rnacentral:miRNA from 1 species